rnacentral:tRNA from 5 species
GGCCCCGUCGCCAAGUGGUAAGGCAGAGGUCUGCAACACCUUUAUCAGCAGUUCGAAUCUGCUCGGGGCCUCCA